rnacentral:rRNA from 1 species
AUUGAACGCUGGCGGCAGGCCUAACACAUGCAAGUCGAGCGAGUGGCGGCCGGGUGAGUAAUGUAUGGGGCACUUCCUGAUAGAGGGGGAUAACUACUGGACACGAUGUCUAAUACCGCAUACCAUCGGCUGUUCCCAGAUGGGAUUAGCUUGUUGGUGGGGUAACGUCUCACCUAGGCGACGAUCCCUAGCUGGUAUGAUAGGAUGAACAGCAACACUGGAACUGAGACACGGCCCAGACGCCUACGGGAUCCAGCAGUGGGGAAGAUUGCACAAUGGGCGCAAGCCUGAUGCAGCCAUGCCGCGUGUAUGAAGAAGGCAUUCGGGUUGUAAAGUACUUUCAGCGGGGAGGCGUUACCCGCAGAAGAAGCACCGGCUAACUCCGUGCCAGCAGCCGCGGUAAUAC